AGGAAGCCGAGAUAAACCUACGCGCAGCCUUGUCUUCCGGGAGAGGAGAGUGCCUGUUUCCCCACGCGAAAUGAUGUUUAAGAUCCCUGCCCGAGCCCCCAGUCCCGCAGUUAAGCAUCAACUGACCGGCUAACGGGAUUGUUCUUCCGCUUGGCAUUUGCAAGGGAGGAGGCAGGAACUCCAGAGGGGCUUAUCGGAGUGGCAGAAGGAAAGCCCCCACUGAAAAUGCCUGUUAUGCACCUUCUGGGAACCGUCCUCCUCUUUCACUUCCUCCCAGCCCCAGCUGGAAUUCCCAAAUGUAGCCUAAACCAGUACCAUACCUGCUAGACAAAUUGUAUAAAUUAGACAUCCCUAAGAGGGAGGAGAAUUUUGGAUGGGGAGCAAAUAAAGGAAAUGGAAGCUGC
rnacentral:lncRNA from 1 species